UACGGAGGGUGCAAGCGUUAAUCGGAAUUACUGGGCGUAAAGCGUGCGUAGGUGGUUCGUUAAGUCCGUUUGUGAAAGCCCCCGAGCUCAACUUGGGAAUUGCAGUGGAUACUGGCGAGCUAGAGUGCGGUAGGAGGAAGGUGGCAAUUCCCGGUGUAGCGGUAGAAAUGCGUAGAGAUCGGGAGGAACACCAGUGGCGAAGGCGGCCUUCUGGACCAGCACUGACACUCAAGCACGAAAGCGUGGGGAGCAAACAGG
rnacentral:rRNA from 1 species